rnacentral:rRNA from 1 species
GUGUGACGCAGGAAGGUAGCUCAUCCUUGGCGAUGGUAGUCCAAGGGUAAGGAUGUAGGGCGAGUGAUAGGCAAAUCCGUCACUCUUAUGCCUGAGAUCCGAUGCCACCCACGUAGUGGAGUGUGAGUGAUCCUAUGCUGCCGAGAAAAGCAUCUAGCGAGAUUCAAAGCCGCCCGUACCCCAAACCGACUCAGGUGGUUAAGUAGAGAAUACUAAGGUGAUCGAGUGAACCAUGGUUAAGGAACUCGGCAAAAUGCCCCCGUAACUUCGGGAGAAGGGGGGCCGGAUGCGUUAUGGGACUUGCUCCCAGAAGCGUUGAAGGCCGCAGAGACCAGGCCCAAGCGACUGUUUACUAAAAACACAGGUCCGUGCUAAGUCGAAAGACGCCGUAUACGGACUGACUCCUGCCCGGUGCUGGAAGGUUAAGGGGACGUGUUAGCGCAAGCGAAGCACUGAACUUAAGCCCCAGUAAACGGCGGUGGUAACUAUAACCAUCCUAAGGUAGCGAAAUUCCUUGUCGGGUAAGUUCCGACCUGCACGAAUGGAGUAACGACUUGGGCGCUGUCUCAACCAUGGACUCGGCGAAAUUGCACUACGAGUAAAGAUGCUCGUUACGCGCGGCAGGACGGAAAGACCCCGGGACCUUUACUAUAGUUUGGUAUUGGUGUUUGGUUCGAUUUGUGUAGGAUAGGUGGGAGACUGUGAAGCUUGGACGCCAGUUCAGGUGGAGUCAACGUUGAAAUACCACUCUGGUCGUACUAGAUACCUAACCUAGGUCCGUUAUCCGGAUCAGGGACAGUGCCUGAUGGGUAGUUUAACUGGGGCGGUUGCCUCCUAAAAAGUAACGGAGGCGCCCAAAGGUUCCCUCAGCCUGGUUGGCAAUCAGGUUUCGAGUGUAAGUGCACAAGGGAGCUUGACUGUGAGAGUGACAACUCGAGCAGGGACGAAAGUCGGGACUAGUGAUCCGACGCUGGCAUGUGGAAGCGGCGUCGCUCAACGGAUAAAAGGUACCCCGGGGAUAACAGGCUGAUCUUCCCCAAGAGUCCAUAUCGACGGGAUGGUUUGGCACCUCGAUGUCGGCUCGUCGCAUCCUGGGGCCGUAGCAGGUCCCAAGGGUUGGGCUGUUCGCCCAUUAAAGCGGCACGCGAGCUGGGUUUAGAACGUCGUGAGACAGCUCGGUCCCUAUCCGCCGCGCGCGUAGGAAACUUGAGAAAGGCUGCCCCUAGUACGAGAGGACCGGGGUGGACGAACCUCUGGUGUGCCAGUUGUCCUGCCAAGGGCACGGCUGGUUGGCUACGUUCGGAAGUGAUAACCGCUGAAAGCAUCUAAGCGGGAAGCACGUUUCAAGAUGAGGUUUCCCACUGGUUUAUCCAGGUAAGGCCCCCAGCAGACCACUGGGUUGAUAGGCCGGAAGUAGAAGUGUGGCAACACAUGGAGCUGACCGGUACUAAUAGGCC